AAUUAUAUUAUAUUUAUUUUAAUCAUAAUUGCAUGUAUUCCAAUUGUAAUUAUUAUAAUUGUAAUCAUAUUAAGUAUCGAAAUCGUGCUUGUCUUUUGAAAAAACAAGGGACGGUCUCUCGUGGUAUAAACGUCAACGUGACAACUGUCCUCGGACAAUAUCACCGGCGGUGGCCAAUAAGAAUCACAAAUUGCAAGUAAUAUUAUCAAGACUAUGAUACUUUCUUAGUCUAAACUGCAGUAUAUAGUUAAAAUGGGAAACUCAAAUUCUGCGGGACAUUCUAAGACUCAGAUAGACCGGAAAAAGGAAGUUCCCGGCAGAAACACGCAAAAGCGUACUUUGCAGUUUUGCCUUUCACGUAGCGCAGAUACCGGAAAAGGUAGACGGUCCGCGAGCGGAAAUGGCAAAACGGCCAGCCAAAAUUCACGCGACUUGGACAGGCGUGAUGUCCAUUCUCGGGCGACAAAUCCGUUCAUCAUCUUCUUCCUACGAUUGCGCAGCAAGAAACCGAACGAGCAUGUCACCGUGAUAGCACGAGUUGCAGGCAAAUUGUGGUCCCGGAUGACUCCCGAACAGAGGAAGAAGUACGUGGACCUCGCUAACGCGGAGAAGAAACGACGGCAGGAGAGAAAACGGAAAAGAAAGCGUUUAUCCGUGCGGUCGAGGUAAUCAAGGAAUUGAACGCACAAGUCAGUGUCCUCUCUAAAAUAAGCAAUUUGCAUUAAGAUGGUUUUUAACAUGCGUCACGUGAAACAUGGAUUUAAUCCUGCUCCAAAGAUAAAGCUAAUCACAUUUUCGAAUCCAGGAUGAAGUAGCGAGUACGAGUUCGGGCAAGAAAGCGACGCUGCAUGCGCAGCAACGUCUGCAGAUCAGGUGAAAAUGUGGAAAUAAUCCAAGUGUCAGAUAUUUUUGAUUUCUUUUUUAUUUGUUAGUAGUUCUUUUAGAUCUAUGUACAAUAAAUAUUGAUGUAUUUUUAUACACUAAUAAUUAUCUUAUCGUUCUAUUACCCUAAACUAGGCGAUCCGCCAUUAUCUUUCGCUCCUCGUUUACUCGUCUGAAAAAAUUAAACUCGUAACGUUCGUACCAUAAA